rnacentral:rRNA from 1 species
GUAGGGAAUAUUGGGCAAUGGUCGGAAGACUGACCCAGCCAUGCCGCGUGCAGGAAGACGGCCCUCUGGGUUGUAAACUGCUUUUAUCUGGGAAGAAAAAGGCCAUGCGUGGCAAAUUGCCGGUACCAGAUGAAUAAGCACCGGCUAACUCCGUGCCAGCAGCCGCGGUAAUACGGAGGGUGCAAGCGUUGUCCGGAUUUAUGGGGUUUAAAGGGUGCGUAGGCGGCUGAUUAAGUCAGCGGUGAAAGACUCCGGCUUAACCGGAGCAGUGCCGUUGAUACUGGUUAGCUUGAGUGUUGGAGGGGUACAUGGAAUUGAUGGUGUAGCGGUGAAAUGCAUAGAUACCAUCAGGAACACCGAUAGCGAAGGCAUUGUACUGGCCAACAACUGACGCUGAUGCACGAAAGUGUGGGGAUCGAACAGGAUUAGAUACCCCAGUAGUCC